CUCUUAUCCCGAGCUGGUGGAGGGACAGGCCCUGUGAAACCCGGCAACCUGCCGUCUUUUGGCGGAAAAGGUGCCAACCUGAAGCAAGGUGAUGAACCUUGGACGAUAAGAG
rnacentral:ncRNA from 2 species